rnacentral:rRNA from 1 species
UUUACAGUACAUAGCACCCUGAACAUGUCUGAUCUCAUCUGAUCUCAGAAGCUGAGCAGGGUCAGGCCUGGUUAGUGCUUCGAUAGGAAGUCAUAGGCUGUUUUUUGC